AACACUAUAGUGCCGGUACCGGUAGAACCGGGGUCGUAUUAGCCUUGGAUAUCUGCAUGCGGGAGUUUGAAGAGAGUCGAACUGUGGACCUUCUUCGGUGUGUGUACAGACUGAGACAAGAUAGAGGAGGCGCUGUUCAAACAAUACAGCAAUAUUCAUUUGUCUAUGAAGCACUCAGUGAAUAUGCCUGCCGGCUGGUCAACCAGUCCCAUCGUCCGUCCAUUAUGCCAGUCGUGUAACUGACCUCAGAAGAAAGUGGUUGUGCCAAACUUACUUCCCGUACUAAGAUCUGCACGCAGCCUUGUUUAACAUGAAUCACGCAAUGACAAACCUUAGAUUAAUGUUCGUUAUUAGAAUCGAGAAGAAAAGAUUAGGCUUAACAUAGAUUCUCAUUUGUAUUUUCAUAUGCGAUUUAUAAGGAAGUUAGAUUGUGUCUACAAUUCUAAGACACUGUGCAUGAAAUAACUUAUUGUGCCACGAAAGAGAUUGAUUUUAAUGAAAUAAGACGAUAUAUACAGUUUGUGUUGUUGAGUGAUUUACAUAUCCAGCUGGUUUAAUUUAAAAAAUAUAUAGUACAGAUUUUAUUUAAGUAUUUUCGAAUAUAAAUUUACGUGUGACGUAAGAGAUUCAUUUCGUUAGUUCAUGUUUGUCUUCUUGUGUUUUAUGGUCCCAGUGUAAUAUGUCAGACUGUUAUAACAGUGAAAACUUCUAACUGUAAUUGUGUAAGUGUUAUUUUAUCAACAUACAAUCUACUUAUGUAUUAUUAACACAAAACCGGGUGUUAUUAGGAUUUCCAGAGUGUUACAUUUGUAACAAAAUGAAAUUCUAACAUUGUUAAAACGUCAGUUUGAAAUAGGCCAUUUUAUUAUCCCUAUAUACAUAUUGAUUAAUACUCUCGUCGGCAACGAUUAUUUAAAAAACCACGAUAUUGAUGUAUCUUAUAGCUUGGUCAUCGUGAAAAUAAAACAAACGAGUAUCAUA